AGCACAUGCGCAGUCGUUUCCUAAGUCGUUGACGUUAGUACUAUGACAACGGUGAGAUUCUGUGAAGUAGUUGAACCGCUGAGCUGCUGAAAAUGUACUAAAGCUCAAAUAUACCAUUUUCCUCUAAGGUGGGAUGUCUCUCUUUAAAGCUCGGGAGUGGUGGUUCACUGUCCUGGGAGAAAGGGAGGAAUUUGACCGGGGGUGCCUGUGUAUCAGUGAUGUAGAUAACAGUGGCUCUGGACAUGCUCUACUAACCAGGCGACUGGAGCAUUGAAUUCUGCGACCGCUUUGGAGGAAUCGGGUGAAGAGAAUGAAAAUGGAUAGGAGCAACACUUUUUAUAUUUAUUUAUUCCACAUGAAAGAUUUACAUAUUUCUUGAUUAUUUGUAUAUUUGUAAAAUAAAAGUUUACCAGAAUGUUUUGUUCUUUUCUUGUCUUCACUCUCCCUAUCAGAGUAGUCCAUUAAUGCAUAAUGCACAGUAGUUUCUUCAGUGUCCCCUAGUUA